rnacentral:rRNA from 1 species
UACGUAGGUGGCAAGCGUUGUCCGGAUUUACUGGGCGUAAAGGGCGUGCAGGCGGGUUGUUAAGUGCAGGGUGAAAGCUCCCGGCUCAACUGGGAGAGGUCCUUGCAUACUGGCAAACUCGAGGGAGGCAGAGGAAAGUGGAAUUCCCGGUGUAGUGGUGAUAUGCGUAGAUAUCGGGAGGAACACCUGUGGCGAAGGCGGCUUUCUGGGCCUUACCUGACGCUGAGACGCGAAAGCGUGGGGAGCGAACCGG